UACGAAGGGGGCUAGCGUUGCUCGGAAUGACUGGGCGUAAAGGGCGCGUAGGCGGCAUACCAAGUUAGGUGUGAAAUUCCUGGGCUCAACCUGGGGACUGCACUUGAUACUGGUAAGCUAGAGUUCGGAAGAGGGUAGUGGAAUUUCCAGUGUAGAGGUGAAAUGCGUAGAUAUGGGAAAGAACACCGGUGGCGAAGGCGGCUACCUGGUCCGAUACUGACGCUGAGGCGCGAAAGCGUGGGGAGCAAACAGG
rnacentral:rRNA from 1 species